AUGCCAAAUAAGGAGAAAAUGGGGGAAAGGAGGAGGAAAAGAGGACCAGUUUUUAAAGUGCAGGCCCAGCUGACAUCCACUUUGGCCAAGGUGAAUAAACACCGUUGUCGUUUGCCUUCAACCUGUCCACGUCUUAUUCGGUCCUUUGGAGUUUGGCAUGCCGGGGCCAUGAACCCACGGUUUUUGCAGAGCUGAAAUCACUUGACAGAGACAUGGCAAUUAAGUCCUAAAAAAACUGAAGAGUGUGGGAAAAAUGAAUUUGCCUGCGUUCAGAGAGAAGAAAAUCUGUCCUUGUCUCUCUCCCAUGUACAUAAACACAACCCACGCUGUCUACCCAUUUCUCACUUUUCUUCUCCAAGCGUAAUGGUACAAGUUCUUCCCUCUUUGCCUUCCUCUCUACUUUAAUGAAGCUUUGCAUCUGAGAAUGGAUCUACAUUGCUAUAUAAUGCAGAUUGAAACUGAAAUCAGGCCCCAUCACCCAUAACCCAGUUUAGCUAACUUCAGCCGGCAACCUUUGGCCUGAAUCUACCAGUUGUAUAAAACGCGUACACACAUAUCAGGGCAAAUCCCAUAAUUCCUCUAGGCAGUACACAUAAUUCCCUCACAAAAACUCAAUGUACCUAACAAUGGAUUCAGACCGAAAGAUCAUUGAAGUUAUCCAGUGCUCUGCUAGGCCCUUUUCCUGGGAACUCAUUCAAAACAUGCCAACAUCCUCUGCUACCCAUUGUUUAGCCAGUCAAGAUCCAUUGUACAACUCCAGGUAGACAGGAAUGAAGCCAUUAGCACCAAUUAACUUGAACAACAACUAGAAAAAUUUAUUUAUAUACUGGAAAGGACUCAGAGUGGUUUCCAACAUAAGUAAGCAUUCAAUACCACAUAGAAAACAUGCAACACCACUGUAAUAAAAACAUAAACAUAAUACAAGGGUUAUCCAGAAAGUAGAUUAUGUUUUGGAAUUAAAAAUGAACAAAGUAUAGGAGAAAACAUUUACCAUAUGCAGUUGAAAACCACACCCAAAUACCACUUCUCAAAAUAGUCCCCACUGAAAUCUAGGCACUUAUCAUAGCGAUGAAUGAGCUUGGCAACUCCUUCCCCACAAAACUCUGCCGCUUGCAUCCUCAACCAGCCGGUCACCCCUACCCGCAGCUACCCAUCGUCGCUAAAACGCUUAUCAUAGCGACCGUUUUUUGGGGCAGGAAAGGUGUGCUUCUUGCAAAACCUUAGAAGAGCGAUCCAGGACGAGCGUGGGGGAAAGUUGAGCGCAUGCACAUGCGCAGCUGUGGGAACAGAUGCCCGCCUGGUUGAGCCAAGUGGCAAAGUUUGGUGGGAAAGAACUUUCCAAACUCUUUUAUUGCUAUGAUAAGUGCCUAGAUUUCAAUGGCGACUAUGUUGAGAAGUAGUAUUUGGGCGUGGCUUUCAACUGCACAUGGUAAAUGUUUUCUCCUAUACUUUGUUCAUUUUAAAUUCCAAAACGUAAUCUACUUUCUGGAUAACCCUCGUAAUAAUUAAAAACAAAUAUAUUCAUUUAAAAUAAAACCAGUUUCAGGACUACUCCAUUGGAUGAUAUUCGGCUACCAAUGGACAGAAUUCCAGGUUGCUUUCAUGUCAGGUGGGUUUUUGUACCAGGAGGGCCCUUACUGUUAUGGGCUCUUGGAGUACCAAAAGUACUGAAAGAAACGGAGGAAACAGAAGAAACAAAUUCUGCACAUAAAAGUCUACACUGACCCUAUAAUGCGGUUUCAAACUUGUCUUAUCUGGCUAUUGGUGAUAAAGAGAACAUGUUAUUUGUUUUUCUCUUAGAGACAAACUUGCCAUUAAAAUAAAGAAAAUAAAAGAGACUAUCUCCAUUUCCAACACCAUCCCAUUUUUGCACAAAUAAUUUUACACAACCACACUGGAGGAUGAGAAAUAACAGCUGAGCUGAAUUCAUUUUGCAAGACAAUUAGCAUCUGGGAAAUAAAUCCUCUUAUCUGUUCACCUUUUCUUAAUUGCAAAUGCACUGAGGGAUAUGAAUAGAAUCAGAUAUCUGGUGUAUAAUCAGAGGUCCUAAAUCCGAAAUAAAUGUGUACAUGGCAAACAAGUCCCUGGGUUGACUUGCUCUAUUUAAGACCCAAAACAAAAUACAGUCUGUUCUCCAUAUCAAUUGAUUCUGCAUCCACAGAUUCAAAUAUCCACGGUUUGACAAUAUUUUAAAAUGGAAAACACUCCUUAUUAUAUAGUGGGGAAUUCUGAGUGUUAUAGUCAUACAAAAGUUAUUUUUCCAAGCUCUGUCUAGAUGGAGCAGUGUUUCAGUUUAUUCAUUCACCAUUUCAUGCUAUUCAGUUGGCUCUCCAUAUUCACAUAUUCAAACAUAAAAAGCUUAUAAAUAUUCCUAUAAAAAUAUCCUCAAAGGAAACCUUGAUUUUGUUAUUUUCUAUCAAGGACACCAUUUUACUAUACCAUUUUAUAUAAUGAGGCUUAAGCAUUUAUGGACUUUGGUAUCCAUAGGG
ensembl:lncRNA